rnacentral:lncRNA from 1 species
ACAACGAACCCAGACACUUCCAACCCUGCAGAGAGGUUUGGGGAGCUUUGGGCCCAGGGAGGACAGAGGGGAGAGACUCCUCCGGUCCGAAUCACCCUUCUCUCGCCCUCAGUGGGGUGCAGACCCCCUCACUUGCCUACCCUAGUUUUCUCUCCAGCCCCACAGUUGAGCUCUAGGCGCAGCCUAGAGCGCGUGAGCACAUAACCCGGCCCCCCAGCACACGCACACACUCACAAAAGCGCACGCCCGGGAGCGCCCCCGAGCUCGCCCGCACACUCCGCACGCGAGCGCGCGUACACACCCAGGCCCCGGGGGUUCGUUCGGCUCGCAUGGGGGCCCCCAGAAAUAGACUCUGCGUGCCCUCUUGUGAAUGUCACUAUUCGCGACGCUCACCCACCGAGGGGCAUCUAUACCAGGCAUAGAGACACCUAUUUUAGGGGGUUGGAAAGGCUGUCGGGCAAGAAGCCUAGGCUAGGGUAAAUUUCGGUUUCUUGUGGUUUACAAACUCUUCGCGCUUUAGGAAAUUUCCAAGGCAAGCUCUGGUGUACAACUCCUUUCUGGGGCCUCCUGAAGUCAUCUGUAGGGUCACACUGACAUGUUGAUACACGCACCCACGUCCAUCACGUACACACCCAGACCCACACACACCUGCGCUCUU